rnacentral:lncRNA from 1 species
AUAUUGGUCUAGUAGUUGUGGUUAAAAUGACACAGACAAUGGGGAAACUUUAUGCUUCUGGAAGGACAGGUGCCCAUGGGACAGGGGUCCCUUCUUUUUAGACGGGUUGACCUAAGGCAUGUCCAAGGUCAGACCCUCCAUGGUGAAAGGGGAGGGGAGGGACUGAGCACAGAACAAGCCCAGCUUCUUCCCCACCUUCUCGCUGCCCUUAACCUCCUCUCCCCCUCUCCGCUGAUCUCCAUUCUGUACACCUGACCUUGCAAACUCAGUUUUAAGACCCAGGAAUUUCCCAUCUGUCGUGGCUCAGCGGUAAGGAGCUCUAUUAUAUCCACAGGGAUGCAGGUUCAAUCCCUGGCCUCGCUCAGGGGGUUAAGGAUCCAGUGUUGCCGUGGGCUAUGGUGCAGGUCACAGACAUGACUCAGAUCAAGCGUUGCUGUGACUGCGGCGUAGGCCGGCAGCCGCAGCUCUGAUUCGACCCCCUAGCCUGGGAACUUCCAUAUGCCACAGGAGUGGCCCUAAAAAAAAGGCAAACAAACCAAAAACAAAAUUCCCAUUGUCUGUGAUUUCUCUAUGGAUUUUCCCAGGGCAGUCAACCAGAUCACAGCAGAAGUGGUAACCCUGCUUCCCGAGAAAGAGCCACUGGGAGGUGCAUGCUGCUGCUAACAGGCUGUUCGUGUGUUCAACACGAAUGCUUUGAAAAUUAAGACUAUCUUGACUUUCUGCCUAGGUUUUACCACGUUUUAUCACAUUGCUACAUGCCAGACUGACUCGACCUCCUCCCACAGCAGAAGACUCCCUGAGUAAGAACCACAUUCUCCGCUGCAUAAUGAACUGAGGCUCUGUGUGUGUGUGUGAGCCCCUUGACCCACGGUGGGUGCUCAGGAAAUGGGCCCCCACGCACAGGCCGAGCAUCUGCCGUAUGCUGAGUACUUUAUACACUUUAUCCCAUGGAUUCUUCACAGCAGCCCUUCCUGUUUGUGCCGUGAAUGGUCCCCACCUCCCAGGAAACCAAGGCUUGGAGAGAUUAAAUGGCUGGUCCCGGACCCCACAGCCCACAGGUGUCACAGCAGGACUCCUGCUCAGGUCUGUGGGACCCUGGACCACACCACUAACUCCACCCGGAAUUACUUUACAAUUAAUUAUAAGACGUGGGUCUACCCAUCUUCUGGUUUUCUCAGUGACCCUGAGGCCCAAGUAAGGGCUCCGCUAAGUGUCUAUUUUAGUGACUGAGAUAACGGAAGCUUACAUGACCAAGCCUGAGCCCUCGCACCCCAGUCCCAUGCUCCUUCCCGUGGGGCCUGACCCACUGGGCUGAAGCUGUUCUCUUCCCUUCCUCAGCCCAGUAUCCCUGGUCCAGCAGCGUGAGCCCAGAGACCCCACUGCAGGCCCAGAGCUGGGGAACCCAGGCCGGUCCUGUGCACAAGGCCUUGGCCAGGCCGGACAAGCCACUGGGCUGGGCUCAUGUUCAUUCCACUCUGAGUCAGCAGCUAAAAAAGGCUGCUAAUCUUUAAUUCAGGGAUGUUAUUUUUCUAUUACAGAAAUUUCAGCCAAACUAAUGGUUUCACACUAUAUCAGGAACCUCAGAAGCGCCAGCAGGAUAAUCCAGACAUGGACUCAUUUAACCUCACUCUCCAAAGUGGAAAGUGGGCCUUGUCAUCCCAGGCCAGUCCCCGGGGGUGCAUACUGGAGGGUGGCUGUCAGCUCCCCUAGCCACGGGGAGCCCCAGGGGGGAGGAAGCAACAGGCUUGGGAGGAAGCAACAGGCUAUGGUCUGUGGGAACCACACUCAGUGGGUUAACUCGGACCGGGAUCCCCAGCCCUCAGCCACACUGCCCGGGUUGUUCCCAGGAGCCUGUUUAAAACGUCUGAGGCCUACUGGGGUUCCCAUUGUGGCUUAGCAGUUAUGAACCUGACUAGUAUCCAUAAGGAUGUGGGUUUGAUCCCUGGCCUCACUCAGUGGGUUAACAAUCUGGUGUUGCUGUGCAUUGCAGCACAGGUCACAGAUGUGGCUUGAAUUCUGGCGUGGCUGUAGUGUAGGCCAGUAGCUGCAGCUCCAGGUCUACCUCUAGCCUGAGAACUUCCAUAUGUCACAGGUACAGCCCUAAAAAGCAAAAACAGACAAAAAAUAAAACAAACCAAAACAACCCCCCCCCAAAAAAAAGUCUGAGGCCUAGGAAACUGCUGUGACCCUCCAGGGACAGAGGCUGGGCACCCCCUCACCUGUCCCCAAUCCUCCCAGAAGCCACCCUGAGGCUUGAGCAUCCAGACCAGGAUCAGAAGGCCAGGGAGAGGCAGCCAGCACCCUAAGGCCCUGGGCUCAGGUCCUCAGCCAGCCUGGGCCUCAGGCAGGGAGUGGGGGAGGCUCCCUGGGCAACCGCUGGGGUCAGGAAGGCGAGGUUCCAGCCACUUGCAGGUCGAGGCAGAAACACAGAAGCCUUCCCUCCCAAUGCUCACAGAUGCACAUUUUAAAAUACAGCCUGGGGUUUCUCAGGGCAAGAAAUCUUAGAAACAAAUCCCCUGAGAUGGUGUCUCGAAUGACCGACCAUGUGUCUCACGAGAAACGCUAAGUGGACAGGAGCCCAUGGCAAGGCCGGCCUGGUGCUCACGUGUGGCUGACACCCUCCCUCUGGUUGUGAGUUUGUCAAUUUGUCGAGGACAGGAGGAGAUGAGGUCCAACUGGCUUACAGGCGCAGCCACCCUCCCCGCAGCCAGCGGUCCGGAGCGAGCAGCCCAGGCAUGGAGGGUCUCAGCCUCAGUCUCAGCCUUGGCGGCACCAUCAGGAACUUUCCAACCACUCAUGUCUGGCUCCAAACACCUCAGCUGUCCUGGCCCAAGGGGAGGGGGGUGCUGGGCUGAAAAUCUCCCCAGGGUUCCUCACACUAGGGUGCCCCCAACAUGCCCCUGGGAGCCUGCGAAACCCCGAUGACUGGGUCCCCUUCCCAGAGGCUCUGCCCUGCAGGUCUCAGGUGGGGCCUUGGAAUGUGCAUUUCCAACAAGCUCCUGGGGGCCACUGCUGGUGCUGAUCCCACCCCUGAGAACACUUAGAUGAGGGCAGGGCCCUGCCUUCCUGGGGACCCCAGUAUGCAAAUGGGACUUCAGGUGGACCCCAGACACAAACAAGGUGAGAGGACACAGCCCAGCCUUGUGACCAGAAAAGCCGGGAAAUGUGAGUGCUGGGCCUCGCUCUGUUGCCAUCCAGAGGCGGACCCUGGAGAUACCCCUUCCCCCGCUGCAGACCCCAGUCCUGGCAUCACCAGUGGAACAAAAUAAAUUCAAGUAAAGAAUCCCCAGUCACCCCAGGUAUACUGCUACUCCAGAAACAGCUAAGAAGGGCUGGGGACCAGGCCAGAAUGAACCCCACAGGGCUGGAGACGCGCCCAGGGCCCCUUUGCUCCUUGGCCACAAGGAAGAAGUGGCCAUCGUUGUCACAGGUCAGGAGAGGGAGCCCAGGGGUGCAGGGGGCCAGGAAGUGGCUGCCACUUGAGAUGACCCCUCCCCAGUGGGUGUUCCCAGCACCCCCACUUCCAUGGCCCGUGGUCGCCACACACAGGUGUGCUCACUGCUCACGGCUCCGUGGGAGCCUGAAAUUCAAAGUCUGGGGACACUGCCCCCAGGUGCUCACCUGUGGCCAAUGGCACAUGGAUGCAUGUGCCAUCCUCUGUUCCCAAAGGGAAGUAAGUCCAAGAUGUAAGGAAGACCGGACAGGUGGCCUGGCCACCAGACCCCCCGGAACAAGGGGUUAGCCCAGACCAGUGGCUUUCAAGCAUUUUUAGAGGAUGAACCUUUCUUCUUCUUUUUAAUAGAUCCCUAGCACAUGGUCGACCAGUGCUGAGGUUCUGACUGUGUGUCUCUGGGUGUGGUACAAUGGAAUACCCUUCAGCCAUAGACAAGAAUGACAUAAUGCCACAUGCAGCAGCAUGUAUGCAACUAGAGAUGCUCACACGCACUUGUAUGUGGAAUCUGAAAAAAUGAUGCAGAUGAAUUUGUUUACAAAACAGAAACAGACUUGCAGAGAACAAAUUUAUGGUUACCAAAGGGGACAGAGGGGAGGGGAGGAAUAAGACAGGAGUUUGGGAUUAUAUGCACACCACUAUACAUAAAACAGAUAACCAACAAGGACCUAUCGUAUAGCACAGAGAACUCUACUCACUAUCUUGUAAUAACCUAUAAUGGAGAAGAAUCUGAAAAAUAUAUAUACACAUGUAUGUAUACACACACACAAAUAUAUACACAUGACUGAAUCACUUUCCUGUAUACCUGAAAUUAACACAACAUUGUGAAUCAACUAUACAUCAAUCAAUAAAUACAUAAAUAAAUUUUUUAAAAAAUAAAGUAUUGACUACGGUACUAGUUUUAAUAUGGCACAGGCCCCAUCUCAGGGAAGGUCAGGGAGAGCAGAGAGGGAGGCAGGACGUCUUUCUCCCCUCAGCCUCCCCUCCAGGCCUGGCACCUGUCCCAGGGUCUACGGCAGGGCCAGCAGCAGCAAACGUUUCCUGGAAAAGGGCCACAGAGUAAAAAAUUUAGGUCGUGCAGGUCCUGUGGCCUGUAUUGCAACUAUUCAACUCUGCCUUCAAAGAGCAAGAGCAGCCAUGUGUGGCUGUGUGUGGCUGUGUUCCAAUAAAACUUUAUUUAUAAAAACCGCCGACAGACCGGGUUUAGUGGAGGCCCCCAGUUUUGCUGAGCCCUGGCAUAGGGAAAAACGCUGUGGGGUCCGCAACCCUAAGAUUCUUUCCACAUUUAUGACAAUGAAUUCUCAAUUCUUAAACUCUACUUGCCAGAGUCUUGGUCUAACCUAUCAAGAAUACACUCAUUCCUGAACUUCACGGAUUUUUGUUCCAAGAACCAAAAAUGUUCUGAUGAGCUAAUGAAUGUGAAAAAUGCUUUGAAAAGCCUAAGCUUUGCAAACGGGCAGACCCACCAAAGCCUCUAAGAGCAGAGCUUACCAUCCUUUACCUGUGUUUCAGGAAGAUUCCAGGCAGUGGGUUAUGUCCGCCUGGGCUGCUUUUAAAGAACGGGGUUUAAAGAAUGCUGCAGUAAAAAGGGCCUAAAGGGACAACAAAGUUGGAAGAAAUGAAUAGUGUCUGGUCCUUGUCUCCUGGAGCCUGAAACUUUUAAACUCUCCAUAGAAAAUCCCACACUCCCCAUUUCAUCCUGUUUGUCUACGCAGCGGCAUCUUAGGCCAGGAAACGGCAUUAGUCAGGAGGCUCCUGGUUAAUCCCUGGAUACGUCUCCUUUGCGCAGCUGUGAAAAUGCUGCAUUGUUAUUUAACUGCACUGAACCGCUCUCCAUCCUUUAAACUGUCUUCAUAAUCACACCGUGACCUAAGGUGCCCUGGCGUGGUGAAGUCCCUGUGAAUGGCUGCCAUCCGUCUACCCUCCA